ACUGUUUUGAAACACUAAUAUUUGUGUUCAGCAAAGUCUCCCGAGUAAAACAGUACAUAUACACACGCUUAGAUCAUGUAUCAGUGUUUGCAGAUGACACAAAACUUUGUAAAUUAAUAAAAUGUGAGCAGGAUAUUGCCUUGCUGCAGAGGGAUUUGGAUAGAUUGGGGGACUGGGCACUAAAAUUUAACAUAGAUAAAUGCAAAGUUAUGCACUUCGGGGUUAAGAAUGCACAAGCAAUUUACACCCUAAAUGGUAGUGAACUAGGGAUAACCACACACACGAGAAGGAUUUGGGAAUUGUUAUAGACAACAAAUUAGGCAGCAAUAUGGGCAUAAAUUAGAGAUGAAAAUAUAAUUUUGCCUCUUUAUAAAAUCGCUGGCAAUACCACAUCUAGAAUAUGCUGUGCAAUUUUGGGCACCUGUUCUAAAGAAAGAUAUCAUGGCACUAGAAAAAGUGCAGAGACGAGCUACAAAAUUGAUAAAAGGAAUGGAGUAUUUUAGUUAUUAAGAAAGGUUAAAAAAUGUAAAUCUCUUUAGUUUGGAAAAACUGCGCCUCAGAGGGGAUAUGAUAACAUUAUACAAAUAUAUUCGGGGCCAGUAUAAAUCUUUAUCUGGAAAUCUAUUUUUAGACAGUCAUUACAGGCACUCCCCCUGCUGGCAAUGCCUUGCGAUCACAUGGCCCAAGGGGGCCAAAGAGGGACUCCCAGGUAAGUACAUAAUAUCGCAGGGAGUUCUAUGCCGCCCUGCGGCGUUUAGAGCCACUUCCUUAAGGACGGCAUAGAACGCCCUGUGGU